rnacentral:rRNA from 1 species
CUACGGGAGGCUGCAGUGGGGAAUAUUGGACAAUGGGGGAAACCCUGAUCCAGCAAUGCCGCGUGUGUGAAGAAGGCCUGCGGGUUGUAAAGCACUUUCGGUUGGGAGGACUGCUUCUAGCACUAAUAUUGUUGGAAGUUGACGUUACCUUCAGAAGAAGCACCGGCUAACUCCGUGCCAGCAGCCGCGGUAACACGGAGGGUGCAAGCGUUAAUCGGAAUUACUGGGCGUAAAGCGCGCGUAGGCGGCUAGAUCAGUCGGGUGUGAAAGCCCCGGGCUUAACCUGGGAACUGCAUCCGAUACUGUCUAGCUUGAGUACAGGAGAGGAGAGUGGAAUUCCACAUGUAGCGGUGAAAUGCGUAGAUAUGUGGAGGAACACCAAUGGCGAAGGCAGCUCUCUGGCCUGAUACUGACGCUGAGGUGCGAAAGCGUGGGGAGCAAACAGGAUUAGAUACCUCAGUAGUC